rnacentral:rRNA from 1 species
CGAAAGCCUGACGGAGCAACGCCGCGUGAGGGAUGAAGGCCUCUGGGCUGUAAACCUCUUUUAUCAAGGAAGAAGAUCUGACGGUACUUGAUGAAUAAGCCACGGCUAAUUCCGUGCCAGCAGCCGCGGUAAUACGGGAGUGGCAAGCGUUAUCCGGAAUUAUUGGGCGUAAAGCGUCCGCAGGCGGCCUUGAAAGUCUGUCGUUAAAGCGUGGAGCUUAACUCCAUUUCGGCGAUGGAAACUACAAGGCUAGAGUGUGGUAGGGGCAGAGGGAAUUCCCGGUGUAGCGGUGAAAUGCGUAGAUAUCGGGAAGAACACCAGUGGCGAAGGCGCUCUGCUGGGCCAUAACUGACGCUCAUGGACGAAAGCCAGGGGAGCGAAAGGGAUUAGAUACCCCUGUAGUCCUGGCCGUAAACGAUGAACACUAGGUGUCGGGGGAAUCGACCCCCUCGGUGUCGUAGCUAACGCGUUAAGUGUUCCGCCUGGGGAGUACGCACGCAAGUGUGAAACUCAAAGGAAUUGACCGGGGCCCGCACAAGCGGUGGAGUAUGUGGUUUAAUUCGAUGCAACGCGAAGAACCUUACCAGGGUUUGACAUCCUGCGAAUACCUUGGAAACGAGGGAGUGCCUUCGGGAGCGCAGUGACAGGUGGUGCAUGGCUUCUUAC